UGACGAUCCACCACAAAACCGAGUAUCGCUACGACCGGCCGGUGGCGUUCGGCGAGCACCGGAUCAUGCUGCGCCCGCGCGACGGCCACGACAUCCGUGUGCUGUCGGAACGGCUCGACAUCUCGCCGCAGCCGUCUUCGCUGCGCCGCAUUCACGAUGUUUUCGGCAACAGCGUCGCCAUCGCCGAUUUCGACAUCGAGGCGGACCGGCUGGUGUUCGA
rnacentral:misc_RNA from 1 species